rnacentral:rRNA from 1 species
CGGAUGGGGACAACAGCUGGAAACGGCUGCUAAUACCGAAUACGUUCCGAAAGUGCAUGACUAUCGGAAGAAAGGAUGGCCUCUAUUUAUAAGCUAUCGCCGGAGGAGGGGUUUGCGUCUGAUUAGCUAGUUGGAGGGGUAACGGCCCACCAAGGCGACGAUCAGUAGCCGGUCUGAGAGGAUGAACGGCCACAUUGGAACUGAGACACGGUCCAGACUCCUACGGGAGGCAGCAGUGGGGAAUCUUCCGCAAUGGGCGAAAGCCUGACGGAGCAACGCCGCGUGAGUGAAGACGGCCUUCGGGUUGUAAAGCUCUGUUAUACGGGACGAAUAGUCUUGUGGUUAAUACCCAUGAGAAGUGACGUACC